UAGGGAAUCUUCGGCAAUGGACGAAAGUCUGACCGAGCAACGCCGCGUGAGUGAAGAAGGUUUUCGGAUCGUAAAACUCUGUUGUUAGAGAAGAACAAGGACGUUAGUAACUGAACGUCCCCUGACGGUAUCUAACCAGAAAGCCACGGCUAACUACGUGCCAGCAGCCGCGGUAAUACGUAGGUGGCAAGCGUUGUCCGGAUUUAUUGGGCGUAAAGCGAGCGCAGGCGGUUUCUUAAGUCUGAUGUGAAAGCCCCCGGCUCAACCGGGGAGGGUCAUUGGAAACUGAGAGACUUGAGUGCAGAAGAGGAGAGUGGAAUUCCAUGUGUAGCGGUGAAAUGCGUAGAUAUAUGGAGGAACACCAGUGGAGAAGGCGGCUCUCUGGUCUGUAACUGACGCUGAGGCUCGAAAGCGUGGGGAGCAAACAGG
rnacentral:rRNA from 1 species